AAAUCUAAGAUACCUAAAUCUUAUUUAACACUUUUUCAAUAAAGGUGGAAAUGGAACAUGGUGUAUACCAUGCACUCCUGAGACUAGGAUUCGAGAUGUAUAUCUCGCCAAUCUUAGCCCUCGCCAUCGCCUAAAAUUGUCAAUGCGGUUUCUUCAAACCCUUUCUCAAUCAAAUUCCAAAAUACUUAAUUCCUAUCUUAACCUC
rnacentral:lncRNA from 1 species